UUUAGUGUAAACGCGCGCAUUCAUAUUUUCGGACGCAGACGUUGCGUUUUUACCACGUGGAAAUCGUAUUCGGUUGUUCAUCGGAGAUAAUGGGUAGGAAAAUCCCAGGAAAAAAGCACAGAGGUGUAAAAGAUCCUUUUAAGCAAGAGGCAAAGCGACAUGCAAAGUUAGAAACAAAGAUAAAUGCAGCGCCAAAAAACGCAGAAGAACAAGCAGUACCGAAAAGUUUAGAAAUUAUAGUAAAAUUGAAAGAGGCAGUAAAAUCAGGCAAGAUAACAAAAAUUAAGAAGAAGAAAAACAAGAAAUAUACUCUCAUAUGUGUUGGCAAACAAGACUCUAGGCCUCUACAUCCCAAGGCCAAACCUGAGAAAGUUGUUCCUGUAUUUCAACAGAAGCUUGGCGAAAGUGGGGAAAGAUUUUUGCACAGAGUUAACAGGGCUACACACGCUUUCAUAAAUGAAACUUCCUUCGAAAGGAAGUACGAUGUUCAAGUCAAUCGAAAUCCAGAAACAGGAAAGAUAGAUGGUCUUUUGAAAUGUGAAGAAACUGAUUUGGAUAAAAUCGAAAUGUUAAGAAUGAAACACAGAAAUAUUAGAAAGAAAAAGAAGAAGAAGAAGGAAACGGAUGAGCCUAAAAUGACUAAGUCGGAAAAGAGAAAGGGGAAGUUGAUAUUGAAGAAACAAAAGCAAAUGCAAGAGAGAGUAGAUGAAUUUAAUAAUUUCAAAGAUCAAGUUAGGUUUGGAGAAGUUGCUCAUGAACCACCGCAAUUAAAAGCCAGAUCAAAAUAUGCAAAUGCUUCUGGUAAGAAGGAACUUCUUCUUCAUUCAAUACUUAAGAAAAGUGAUGAAGUAAAAAUGAAUGAUAAGAUUGUAUCCACGGAUAGAUCAGGGAAACGCAAGAAUCUAUCACUUGGAGAAAGGAGACAGCUAGAAAAACAGCAAAGUGAUGUCAUUGCAACAUACAGAAUGUUAAAAGUACAACGAUCUGGUGUUGACAACUAGGAGAGAAAAUCCAGCGUGCGUUUGUAUAAAAGGAAAUAUAAGAGUUUCGUCUGGCACGAGUCCCGAAAGUCAUCGAAACGAUCGACGUCCUCCCUCGUUGAAUAAGUCUACGUGACUGGCCACGUGUCUGCAAACAGAUGGAAAAGAAAGAGAGAGUAAUUGCCGAGUGGAGAUGAUUCCCUACUAACAGAGUGUGAAGAUUAACCGAAUGUUGAAGUGAGAGCCGUAUUAACGUGUUAUUAACGGCAUGUAACGAACACCGCUGUGGUAAUCAUGGAGAAUGCCUGCCGGUCGACUUGGAGUAAUCUGAGAGCCACCAGGGAGCGCGGCGCAGCGGAAUCCAAAGGCUGACGGUGUCCAGGCUCGCGUUUCGAAGACACGUGAAAGAGUGCCGGUGACUUAGAUAAGAAAAGACUAUCGUCAAAACUUCGACGCCUGCUGAGU